ACUAAAGCUAGCCCAAACAUCAAGCAAUACGCCCAAAUAUAUCCCAAAUAUAAAUAAAACAUUCAUUUAAUAAAUAGUAUAGGAGAUAGAAAUUUUACUUUUGGCGCUAUAGAGAAAGUACCGUAAGGGAACGAGUGAAAGAAAUAUUAAAAGUACAAAACAGCAAAGAUUACCCCUUGUACCUUUUGCAUAAUGAAUUAACUAGAAUAACUUUAGCAAAGAGAACUUAAGUUAAAAACCCCGAAACCAGACGAGCUAUCCACAAACAGCCAACAGGGCGAACUCAUCUAUGUGGCAAAAUAGUGAGAAGAUUUUUGGAUAGAGGUGAAAAGCCUACCGAGCCUGGUGAUAGCUGGUUGUCCAGAUAAGAAUUUUAGUUCAACCUUAAAUUUACCAUAUAACCCUCAAAUUAUAAAUGUAAAUUUAACUGUUAAUCCAAAGGGGUACAGCUCUUUGGAAUAGGAUACAACCUUAAUUAGAGAGUAAGCAUAUAUCAACUACCAUAGUUGGCCUAAAAGCAGCCACCAAUUAAGAAAGCGUUCAAGCUCAACAAAUUAUAUUCAGCUUAAUGUAAUUAAUUAACUCAAACUCCUAAUACUAAACUGGACUAAUCUAUAUUAAUAUAGAAGCAAUACUGUUAAUAUGAGUAACAAGAUUUAAAUCUCCAAGCACAAGUAUACAUCAGAACUAAUACAUAACUGAUUAUUAACGGCCAAAUAAAUAAAACCCAUCAUAAAACAUUUAUUUUUUUUUUUCACCGUUAACCCGACACAGGUGUGCACUCAAGGAAAGAUUAAAAGAAGUAAAAGGAACUCGGCAAACGCAAACCCCGCCUGUUUACCAAAAACAUCACCUCUAGCAUUACUAGUAUUAGAGGCACUGCCUGCCCAGUGACAACUGUUUAACGGCCGCGGUAUCCUGACCGUGCAAAGGUAGCAUAAUCAUUUGUUCCCUAAAUAGGGACUUGUAUGAAUGGCCACACGAGGGUUUAACUGUCUCUUACUUCCAAUCAGUGAAAUUGACCUUUCCGUGAAGAGGCGGAAAUUUACCAAUUAGACGAGAAGACCCUAUGGAGCUUUAAUUUGUCUACUCCAAUAGAAUAUAUUAUUACCCAUACAGGAACAACACCUUAUUCUAACUGGAUAGAAAAUUUCGGUUGGGGUGACCUCGGAGCAUAAACUAACCUCCGAGAUUUUUUUACUAAGACUAACAAGUCAAAGUAUAACUAUAUCAAUUGAUCCAGUAUUACUGAUCAACGGAACAAGUUACCCUAGGGAUAACAGCGCAAUCCUAUUCUAGAGUUCUUAUCGACAAUAGGGUUUACGACCUCGAUGUUGGAUCAGGACAUCCUAAUGGUGUAGCAGCUAUUAAUGGUUCGUUUGUUCAACGAUUAAAGUCCUACGUGAUCUGAGUUCAGACCGGAGUAAUCCAGGUCGGUUUCUAUCUAUUCUGUAUUUCUCCCAGUACGAAAGGACAAGAGAAAUAGGGCCCACUCCAAACAAGCGCCCUCGAGUCAAUAAAUGAUAUUAUCUCAAUUUAGUUAACUCAACAAUUCCCCUACCUAAGACAAAGGUUUC
rnacentral:rRNA from 1 species